UACAGAGGGUGCGAGCGUUAAUCGGAAUUACUGGGCGUAAAGCGUGCGUAGACGGUUAUUUAAGUCGGGUGUGAAAUCCCCGGGCUCAACCUGGGAAUGGCAUUUGGGACUGCAAGGCUGGAGUACGGCAGAGGAGACUGGAAUUCCUGGUGUAGCAGUGAAAUGCGUAGAUAUCAGGAGGAAUACCGAUGGCGAAGGCAGGUCUCUGGGCUGAUACUGACGCUCAUGCACGAAAGCGUGGGGAGCAAACAGG
rnacentral:rRNA from 1 species